UACGAAGGGGGCUAGCGUUGCUCGGAAUCACUGGGCGUAAAGGGUGCGUAGGCGGGUCUUUAAGUCAGGGGUGAAAUCCUGGAGCUCAACUCCAGAACUGCCUUUGAUACUGAGGAUCUUGAGUUCGGGAGAGGUGAGUGGAACUGCGAGUGUAGAGGUGAAAUUCGUAGAUAUUCGCAAGAACACCAGUGGCGAAGGCGGCUCACUGGCCCGAUACUGACGCCUGAGGCACGAAAGCGUGGGGAGCAAACAGGG
rnacentral:rRNA from 1 species